UGUCCUUCUAGUCAGACAGCACUACAGAAGGCUUCUCUUUCUGUCUCCUUGCCUAUGCCUGAGGAAAGGCCUUGUGAGGACACAGCAAGAGGGCAGUGUAAUAAGCCAGGAAAAGCAAUCUCACACAGAAAUUUUGAUCUUGUACUUCUAGCCUUCAGAACUGUGAGAAAGUGGUAUUUGAAUUUUUAAAUACAGCUUUUCCAUAAAGAUUAAUUUUAAAACUUCCAAUGAACUCAUAUGAUGAUAAUUUAUAAGGAUUAGAAAAGAAGGAACAAAGUUCAGUCUCAAGGAACCUAACGAUAGGAGUAAAACGCAUUGCAACAGGUGAAUGAGAUAGGAGGGUAGCUGAGGAAAACCAGGCAACUGGCUGUUUCUUCAGCAUAAAUCAAUUUGCCUUGCCACAGUCUGAAAAGUUUCAUGCCUCCUGAGUGCCUUAUAUUUGGGUAUAUCAUCAAAAUGACAACUGUGUUUUGUGUGGAGACAAUUUGGACAAGUUUCAUAAAAAGGGGUCAAUAAUUUUUUAAUCUCAGUCUCAAAAUUUAUGUUACUGUAGCAUGUGCUCGGGAAAUGCCUGCUUGCCUGCUGGUCUAGUAGUCAGAGAACAGACUUAACAAAUAAAAG
ensembl:lncRNA